UGGGAAGAUCUGCGCAACUCCUGAUUGGCUGGGAAGGAAAAACCACAACAGACUGUAAAAACACCGGUUUCGGCGUAAACGAAACCGAAAGUGCGGAACUUCACUAGACGUGGAGCGGAAGAUCGGACCAGCCUAAGGAAGAGGGGAAAUGGAUAACAUCGUAAAGGAGGUCAUUCAAUUGCUAUCUAAGUCCCGUGAAGGACUUAAAGUCUCCGAAUUCAGUGGUGCUUAUCAGAAACAUUUUUGCAAGACGCUGGUCCUCUCCAGCCUCGGGUUCAAGAAACUGGUUGAUCUUUUCCAUUACAUGAGGGAUAAUGUGGAGCUUAUGGAGUCAGGCGGGGAGCAAAUUGUCAGGAUCAAGUCAGAAAAUACACACCAAGCGGAAGCUUAUUACCGUAAUCAACCUGAAAGCAAUGGAGAACGCUUUACACUUCUUUCAAAGCCUGGACUCAAUGGAAUGGAAGCUAGAACCAAGUCAUAUAGAGAUGCUCUUCAGCAUCGAACUCAGCAAGAACCGAAUAAGGUUACAACAUCAUCUGAAUCGGGGGCUUGCUUACCAGAGCCAGCUCCUGUAGAGACUGACCAGAAAGCCAAGCUGAAGGAAUCAAUUCGGAACCUUCUGGAACAACAUCCAAAUGGUGUCCCAUUGUCACAGGUUCGGAAGUCCUGCCCUAUGAUUUAUGACCCAGCUCUUUUAGAUAGCUUCGUGUCUACUAAACAUCUGCUGGCUUCCCUGACGGAUGUACUGGAACUGAGAGGUAUUGGUGUGCAGACCCACAUCCACCCAGCUGGUCAAUCGAACCUGACUGCAAUAUAGUUAUAUACUAUUUUCUGGAACAGGCAUAGCUUUCAUUAACUAAACAUAAGUGACGUGUGUAUCGUGUACUGAUGUCAUACAAAAUCAUAAGCAAAAUGGCCAUAAUUUAAAAAAAAAAAAAAACCAUAAAGCUCUGGUAGAAAUUAUUUUGGAAGUUUUUUGGAAAAUUUGAGCAUUCCUUUUAAGAUGUUUGAUGUAAAUUUUUGUUAGAUUCAUUGUGUAGAAUGUUUACAAGCCUUGUAUUUUAACAGAUAUUGUUUAGGCAUUACUUAUAACAAUCACCGGUAUCAUAAUUCAUCAUUACAAUACAAGAACUGUGAGCAUUAUCAUUAGACAGUUUACAAACCUGUAACAGAAUGAAGUAAGAGCAUAAUGUGAAUUGUAAAAAAUGAAGUGACCUUUAUAUUUUUUGCUGAUAUUUUUGUGGAUUUUUGUGGAUUUAAAUUAUACUCAAUUUAAACUUUAAAUACUCAAGGUUUGUGUCUGUGAGCUGUAUAAAACCAGUGUUUGGUAUCAACAAUAUCACGAAGAUUAUUUAAUUCUUUUAAUUUCAAACUUUUAAAAACGAUGCUGGAUUUGUUUUCUCUAAUGUCCUAGAAGGUUGUGUGCCUCUCCUGUCUCUGUAGAUUACAUGUCCCUGCUUGUGCGAGUUCCCUCUGCAGUCUCCACUUUCCUUGCUCAGUCCCAACAAAUGCACAUCUAAAUUCCCGUGAGUAUGCGGGUGUCCCUGAGUAUGCGGGUGUCCCUGAGUAUGCGGGUGUCCCUGAGUAUGUGGGUGUCCCAUCCAGUGUGUCUCUUGCAACCCCAGACUGGAAAGCCGUCAGGAAAUAUCGAUGGACAAUAUCAAUAUUCCCCCUGACUGAUUAGGAUAAGCGGUUAGACGAUGGAUGGAUGGAAUAUUCAUAUAUGUAAUAAGUAUAGCAAAUUCACAUCCACUGUUUCCACGUAAAGGAAAAAAGAGAAAUAUACAACUUACAGAAAUA